rnacentral:rRNA from 1 species
GAUGAACGCUGGCGGCGUGCCUAACACAUGCAAGUCGAACGAAGUGUAUAUAGGAAGUCUUCGGAUGGAAUAUGUAUAACUUAGUGGCGGACGGGUGAGUAACGCGUAAGUAAUCAACCUGUGACACACGGAUAACUGAUAGAAAUGUCAGCUAAUACGAGAUGAACUGUUUAAAUUGGGAAAUGGAAACAGCAAAGCGAAAGCGGUCACAGACGAGCUUGCGUCUGAUUAGCUAGUUGGUGGGGUAAGAGCCUACCAAGGCGACGAUCAGUAGCCGGCCUGAGAGGGUGAACGGCCACAUUGGAACUGAGACACGGUCCAAACCUUCUACGGGAGGCAGCAGUGGGGGAUAUUGCACAAUGGGGGGAACCCUGAUGCAGCAACGCCGCGUGAGUGAAGAAGGCCCUAGGGUCGUAAAGCUCUGUCGUAUGGGAAGAAACAAAUGACUGUACCAUACAAGAA